CAUAGUGCUAAACUUUUGCUCAGCACUGUAGUGCUAAACUUUUGCACAUAACUAUAACUAGCGGGUUGUCACUGCAUGCAUAUGCAAUGUAUGUGUGUGUGUCAGCAGCCGCUAGUUACAAGUUUUUUCAUCUCAUGGUUGUUGUUGCCGUCUGCUGAAUUCAAUCAGCAGCCGGCUUCAGUGACAAAAGAAGAAGUCAAAAUAAUUAUUAGUGAUCGAUACCUUAAACAAAACGUUCGCUCUCCCCGUGACAACAAACAAAAGCAACAAAAAAGGGAAUUAGAAUUUUUGAAAAUUAAGAACAAAUGUGAAUGUGAAACCAAGUGUAUAAAAAAGAAAAUUUAAAAUUAUUAAAACUAUUAUUGCACGAAUUGAUUUAACCUAAAUUAUAUUGCACCUUUGUUACUAUAUUGCACUUACCCAUCGUUUUGAUACAUAAUAAAUUUGUGAACUGAAAAUUAAAAGUGCCAAUUGUACAUUCCUUGGAAAGAAAAAACAAAAGGUUUGUACACGAACAUUUUUGGUCCAUUCGAAGCCGAAUAAGUGAAUUUGUUUUACAACAAAUGUACAAGUGCGUUUAAUUUUUUGUGUGGAAAAUUAUAUAGUCAGUUCAAAAAAUAUACAUAUACAUACCCCAUAAAACGGUGACACUUACGUUUCUAUCUAAAAAUAAAAAUACAUAUAUAUAUAUAUAUAUAUAUAUAUAUAUAAAAAUUGUUAAAAAGUUACUUACCUUGUUGAAAGAGUUGAUACUUACCAAAUUUUAUAAAAACCUUCCUGCAAAAUUUGUAAAAAAUUACUUACCUCAAGAAUUUGUGAAAAGUGCAAAAACAAAAACAUUGUGAGUCUGAGCUGGCAACAGCCAGACAAGAUCAAGUGAAAUUUAAGUGCUGCAAAAAGCGGAACAAAUUAAUUCAAAGCCACUUUAACCAAACGCGGUACGGUUCGGUAAAACCCAACAACAAAAUUUACAAAAAAUUGAACAUUGAAGAGUUCUAGAAGAGUAUAGAAGAGUCUACAGCUCCGCUACCACAGUACCGCUAAUUCAGCCACUGCAACCAAAGGAGCUUCACACACUCUCUUACACAGACACACAGACACAAAGAGAUCAAAGAAUGGCAGCCUACUUGCCCCGUCCAGAAGACGAGCGGCCUCAAGGAAAAGAGCGUCGUCAUCGGGACGAACGAGGAGCGGAACCCCGGCCCCAACGAAAUCCGUCUCGAAAUCGCGACCGCGAUCAUGUAGAUCGGCGCGGAAGACCCACUUUCUGGCAGUACUCUUGCGGUCUCUGCCAAGAUGACCAUGCGCUGAGCACAUGCCGCCGAUUCCGGGACCAGACCCCAUACCAACGUUACGAAACUGUGGAGCGGCGGGGGUAUUGCCGUAAUUGCUUGGCGCGCAGUCAUCUUGCACCUGAUUGCCAGUCCAUCGCAGGCUGCCGUCGCUGCGAGGAGCGACAUCACACGCUGCUGCAUGGGGCACCGCAGCUUGAAAACAUGGAGAGGCCCGCCGAUGAUUUUGCUCCUGCCAACAACGCCAGACCUGCACCCACAGCAUCCCCACCCUUUAAGUGGGAUCUUGUCUUUGUGCCUACUGCCAUGGUACGAAUAGCAGAGGAUGGGGUCGAUACUUGGGCCACCGUGCGAGCGUUGAUCAAUCAAUCAUCUACAAUGUCUCGGCUGGCCUAUUCUACAUUCCGGCGACUUGGACUACGAUCGUGUACAUACCAGGGCAACAGGUUUACAACCUUCCGAUUGAUGCAUCGCAGCCCAAAUAGCAACUGGGCACUUAAGAUUAAUGCAUUCAUCACAGAUGCAUUGCCUUUCCGACCCUACUCAGACCCACUUUUGGAGGACCCGACCCGUGAUUUAGCGCAAGACACCCUUGCUGAUACAGACCCUAGAGCCAACACGUCAAUAGACUUAGAAUUGGGCGCGGAUGUCUAUCCGAGACUGCAGAGGGAUGGCCAUGUCUUUGCCGGCAUUGGGGAUGUCAACGCAUUCCAGACCACUCUUGGCUACGUCUUUGUCGGCCCCAUCCGGAAUAUGCCUAGACACUAAGCUAACAUUUUAGAAGAAUUACACUUGUCACGGGGGGGCAAGAUGUUUAGCAUAGUGCUAAACUUUUGCUCAGCACUGUAGUGCUAAACUUUUGCACAUAACUAUAACUAGCGGGUUGUCACUGCAUGCAUAUGCAAUGUAUGUGUGUGUGUCAGCAGCCGCUAGUUACAAGUUUUUUCAUCUCAUGGUUGUUGUUGCCGUCUGCUGAAUUCAAUCAGCAGCCGGCUUCAGUGACAAAAGAAGAAGUCAAAAUAAUUAUUAGUGAUCGAUACCUUAAACAAAACGUUCGCUCUCCCCGUGACAACAAACAAAAGCAACAAAAAAGGGAAUUAGAAUUUUUGAAAAUUAAGAACAAAUGUGAAUGUGAAACCAAGUGUAUAAAAAAGAAAAUAGAUCUACCUAUAUACUUACCAAGCUAUAUACUUACCUACCUAUAUACUUACCAAGCUAUACACUUACCUGCCUGUGUACUUACAUGCCUAUACCUACUUAUAUAUGUUAAACCAUAAAUACAUAAAAAUUAAAGAAGCCAUUUACACUGUUGAACAAAAAUACUCACCCAAAUGUACCAUCUGAAAGAAAAGUUAAAAAUACAAAAAAAGACAAAUUAAUUUUUACCUGAAUUGUUAAUUCUUGCUAAGUGUUGCCUAGUCUGCUAAAACUUAC